CCCCGAGGACGACCUCGUCGUCGCGGCCAUCCCCUCGCGGGAGGACCCGC
rnacentral:ncRNA from 1 species